rnacentral:rRNA from 1 species
GAUGAACGCUGGCGGCGUGCCUAAUACAUGCAAGUCGAACGAGGAGCUCUUGUAGCAAUACGAGGGUUUCCUAGUGGCGAACGGGUGAGUAACGCGUUGGUGACCUGCCCCGAAGAGGGGGAUAACAGUUCGAAAGAACUGCUAAUACCCCAUGUGGUCACGAGGGUUAGAGGCCUCGUGUCUAAAGGAGCAAUCCGCUUUGGGAGGGGCCUGCGUCCCAUCAGCUAGUUGGUAGGGUAAUGGCCUACCAAGGCGACGACGGGUAGGGGGCCUGAGAGGGUGGCCCCCCACAAUGGAACUGAAACACGGUCCAUACACCUACGGGUGGCAGCAGUAGGGAAUAUUGCACAAUGGGCGAAAGCCUGAUGCAGCAACGCCGCGUGCACGAUGAAGGUCUUCGGAUCGUAAAGUGCUUUUCGGGGAGAUGAGAAAGGACAGUAUCCCCGGAAUAAGUCUCGGCUAACUACGUGCCAGCCGCCGCCGUAAAAC